AUUGAACGCUGGCGGCAGGCCUAACACAUACAAGUCGAGCGAGCGGCGGACGGGUGAGUAAUGUCUGGGAAACUGCCUGAUGGAGGGGGAUAACUACUGGAAACGGUAGCUAAUACCGCAUACCCUCAGAUGUGCCCAGAUGGGAUUAGCUAGUAGGUGGGGUAAAGGCCUACCAAGGCGACGAUCCGUAACUGGUCUGAGAGGAUGAUCAGCAACACUGGAACUGAGAAACGGGCCAGACUCCUACGGGAGGCAGCAGGGGGGAAUAUUGGACAAUGGGCGAAAGCCUGAUGCAGCCAUGCCGCGUGUGUGAAGAAGGUCUUCGGAUUGUAAAGCACUUUAAGUUGGGAGGCGUUACCCGCAGAAGAAGCACCGGCUAACUCCGUGCCAGCAGCCGCGGUAAUUC
rnacentral:rRNA from 1 species